rnacentral:rRNA from 1 species
CCUACGGGAGGCAGCAGUGGGGAAUAUUGGACAAUGGGCGAAAGCCUGAUCCAGCCAUGCCGCGUGUGUGAAGAAGGUCUUCGGAUUGUAAAGCACUUUAAGUUGGGAGGAAGGGCAGUAACUUAAUACGUUGCUGUUUUGACGUUACCGACAGAAUAAGCACCGGCUAACUCUGUGCCAGCAGCCGCGGUAAUACAGAGGGUGCAAGCGUUAAUCGGAAUUACUGGGCGUAAAGCGCGCGUAGGUGGUUCGUUAAGUUGGAUGUGAAAUCCCCGGGCUCAACCUGGGAACUGCAUUCAAAACUGUCGAGCUAGAGUAUGGUAGAGGGUGGUGGAAUUUCCUGUGUAGCGGUGAAAUGCGUAGAUAUAGGAAGGAACACCAGUGGCGAAGGCGACCACCUGGACUGAUACUGACACUGAGGUGCGAAAAGCGUGGGGAGCAAACAGGAUUAGAUACCCUGGUAGUCCACGCCGUAAACGAUGUCAACUAGCCGUUGGGAGCCUUGAGCUCUUAGUGGCGCAGCUAACGCAUUAAAGUUGACCGCCUGGGGAGUAACGGCCGCAAGGUUAAAACUCAAAAGGAAUUGACGG